ensembl:lncRNA
CUGUUUUCUAUUCCUGAGUUUGAUGCUGUGCAGCUGGGAAGCCACGUUUCACAGGUGGUUGGUCAUUUCUUAUACACAGGAAACGAGAACAGGAUGGUGAAGUUUGCUUGAAAUAUCUCUUCUUGCCUGGGAGAAAACACAGACUGCUGACUCAGGCUGUGCUCACAAACACGCCAAAUGCUGCAAAAUAUAUAGCCUCAGCACUCCUCCAGAUGCACGCCUUCCCACCCUGUCUGCCAUGACAUGUCUGCACAAUCAGCCACUUUGGAAGUCACCCAUCUUGAAGAGCUGCUCUUCAGAAUAUCAGACGGAAAGGACUUUACCAACAUUUGGG